UUUUGUUGUGCAACACUACCAGCCAAACGGCGCCGCGUUCAUACCGUCUGACGGGGGUCCAGGUUGUGAGCUGACUUCAUGAAAUGGAAUGCAAAGAAUAAAACAGUUUUGGCUUCAAUUCGACGGACAUUGCGCUGCUCCGUUUGGGUUCGUGUGUCAUAGAAGAGACACAGGAACAUACAUGCAGACAUCAAUCCCCUGUAACUUGUAAUAAUAGUUGUUCACAGAGGAUAAAGAAUAUGCAGUCACAUCCUACGCUCAUCCCCACAAGAUGCUUUGAAUUAGGCGGCGACACGAAGAGAGGCCAGACGGACUCGGUCCUCCGCUGGGAGCGUGAGCGAGGUGUUGCGCAGGUGAGAGCGGCAUCUUCCUGGCCUCCAUCAACAGCCAUCCUCAGUGCGAUUGAUUAUCUGUGCGGGCGGCACGGCAAAGCAGCGCUGAGCAUGUUUGCCUCGCAGUCCUGCGUUUCGGGGCUUUGAAUCUCGGAUCGGGCCUUCCUGCGGUGAGUUUGCUGUUUGAUGAUCCCCAAGACAUUCUGUGGACUGAUGAGUCAAAAACUGAACAUUUUGGAAGAUGUGCGGCCCGUUACAUGCGGGGUGAAAAAUGGCACGGCGUUUGAUAAAAAGAACAUGAUGCCAACAGUGGAGCAUGGUGGUGGCAGUGUGAUGGUCCGUGGCUGCUUUGCUACCUCAGGACCAGGACAACUUGCUGUGAUUGAUGGGACAAUGAAUUCUGCUGUCCACCAGAAAAUUCCGAUGGAGAACGUCCGACAACCAGUUUGCGCCCUCAAACUUAAACGCUCUUUAAUCAUGUAGCAGGACAAUGAUCCAAAAGGCUAAAAAAAAAAAAACCCAAAACAAAA